rnacentral:rRNA from 1 species
AUUGAACGCUGGCGGCAGGCCUAACACAUGCAAGUCGAACGGUAACAGGAAGAAGCUUGCUUCUUUGCUGACGCGUGGCGGACGGGUGAGUAAUGUCUGGGAAACUGCCUGAUGGAGGGGGAUAACUACUGGAAACGGUAGCUAAUACCGCAUAACGUCGCAAGACCAAAGAGGGGGACCUUCGGGCCUCUUGCCAUCGGAUGUGCCCAGAUGGGAUUAGCUAGUAGGUGGGGUAACGGCUCACCGAGGCGACGAUCCCUAGCUGGUCUGAGAGGAUGACCAGCCACACUGGAACUGAGACACGGUCCAGACUCCUACGGGAGGCAGCAGUGGGGAAUAUUGCACAAUGGGCGCAAGCCUGAUGCAGCCAUGCCGCGUGUAUGAAGAAGGCCUUCGGGUUGUAAAGUACUUUCAGCAGGGAGGAAGGGAGUAAAGUUAAUACCUUUGCUCAUUGACGUUACCCGAAGAAGAAGCACCGGCUAACUCCGUG